GGUUUCCCCAUUACAGGAUAAGAGAGUUUCCUAACAAGGCAAAUGAGCCCCUCCGUGACAUGACUACUGCUGGAAUUCUCAGCUUCAACCCAGCAUUUCUGACACAUUUUAUGUUCCGUCUGCACUAAACCAUGAAAAAAAUCACUUAAUCAUGGGGAAGCAGGGGAGAUGGCCGCUUUUAUCCUCACCAGUUCCAACUUGCAACCAAGACAGUAUGUUCACUGAAGAAGCAAAGAUAGUACAUUUGACCUACUAGACACCCAGGAAGCGAAUGAAUAUUCAUGCAAAUAAAACGUCGG
rnacentral:lncRNA from 1 species